rnacentral:rRNA from 1 species
AGUGAACGCUGGCGGUAGGCCUAACACAUGCAAGUCGAACGGCAGCACAGUAAGAGCUGGCUCUUACGGGUGGCGAGUGGCGGACGGGUGAGGAAUACAUCGGAAUCUACUUUUUCGUGGGGGAUAACGUAGGGAAACUUACGCUAAUACCGCAUACGACCUACGGGUGAAAGCAGGGGAUCUUCGGACCUUGCGCGAUUGAAUGAGCCGAUGUCGGAUUAGCUAGUUGGCGGGGUAAAGGCCCACCAAGGCGACGAUCCGUAGCUGGUCUGAGAGGAUGAUCAGCCACACUGGAACUGAGACACGGUCCAGACUCCUACGGGAGGCAGCAGUGGGGAAUAUUGGACAAUGGGCGCAAGCCUGAUCCAGCCAUACCGCGUGGGUGAAGAAGGCCUUCGGGUUGUAAAGCCCUUUUGUUCGGAAAGAAAAGCAGCAGGUUAAUACCCCGCUGUUCUGACGGUACCCAAAGAAUAAGCACCGGCUAACUUCGUG